UACGUAGGGUGCAAGCGUUACUCGGAAUUACUGGGCGUAAAGCGUGCGCAGGCGGUUUUGUAAGUCAGAUGUGAAAUCCCCGGGCUUAACCUGGGAACUGCGUUUGAAACUACAAGGCUAGAGUGUGACAGAGGGGGGUGGAAUCCCACGUGUAGCAGUGAAAUGCGUAGAGAUGUGGAGGAACACCGAUGGCGAAGGCAGCCCCCUGGGUUAACACUGACGCUCAGGCACGAAAGCGUGGGGAGCAAACAGG
rnacentral:rRNA from 1 species